rnacentral:rRNA from 1 species
GCAGAGGAAGCUUUUGGUGAGGUGCCUUCCAAGUUCCCUACAACGGGACGCCAGANAGGGUGAGAGCCCCGUACAGUUGGACACCAAGCCUUUGUAAAGCUCCUUCGACGAGUCGAGUANUUUGGUAAUGCUGCUCAAAAUGGGAGGUAUAUUUCUUCUAAAGCUAAAUACCGGCCAGAGACCGAUAGCGCACAAGUAGAGUGAUCGAAANANGAAAAGCACUUUGAAAAGAGGGUUAAACAGCACGUGAAAUUGUUAAAAGGGAAGCGCUUGUGACCAGACUUGCGUCCGGUGAAUCACCNAGCUCUCGCGGNUGGGGCACUUCGCCGGCUCNGGCCANCAUCNNCUCGCUGUCNGGGACAAAAGCUUCAGGAACGUAGCUCUCUUCGGGGAGUGUUAUAGCCUGUUGCAUAAUACCCUUCNGCGGGCUGAGG